rnacentral:rRNA from 1 species
GAUGAACGCUGGCGGCGUGCCUAAUACAUGCAAGUCGAGCGAACGGUCGAGAAGCUUGCUCCUCUGAUGUUAGCGGCGGACGGGUGAGUAACACGUGGAUAACCUCCCUAUAAGACUGUGAUAACUUCGAGAAACCGUAGCUAAUACCGGAUAAUAAUUUGAACCGCAUGGUUCACAAGUGAAAGCCCGUCUUGCUGUCACUUAUAGAUGGAUCCGCGCUGCAUUAGCUAGUUGGUAAGGUAACGGCUUACCAAGGCAACGAUGCAUAGCCGACCUGAGAGGGUGAUCGGCCACACUGGAACUGAGACACGGUCCAGACUCCUACGGGAGGCAGCAGUAGGGAAUUUUCCGCAAUGGGCGAAAGCCUGACGGAGCAACGCCGCGUGAGUGAUGAAGGUCUUCGGAUCGUAAAGCUCUGUUAUUAGGGAAGAACAUAUGUGUAAGUAACUGGGCGCAUCUUGACGGUACCUAAUCAGAAAGCCACGGCUAACUACGUG